UUUCUGACAGCAGCAGUAUAUGAGUGCCUUUUAAAGGCAUCAUAGAAUAUACGGCAUUGCCAAUUCUCUAUAAAUUUGGAGUGUGGACUGACAGUGCUGGGGAGGAAUGGACACUUAGAAGCAGAGAAGCAGCAAAACACCCUGACUACUCCUGCUGAGAGGUGCACGUGGGCAGGAGACAUCAUAGGAAAGGCUCCAAGAGAGGGUCUCAACUGACUGCUGCUUUACAUAUUUAUAAACGAGUUCAAGAGGGACUGGGAAUACCC
rnacentral:lncRNA from 1 species